AUACGGAGGGUGCAAGCGUUGUUCGGAAUCACUGGGCGUAAAGGGCGCGCAGGCGGUUUGGUAAGUCAGAUGUGAAAGCCCACGGCUCAACCGUGGAAGUGCAUUUGAAACUGCCAGACUUGAGUACUAGAGGGGAAAGUGGAAUUCCCGGUGUAGGGGUGAAACUCGUAGAUAUCGGGAGGAAUACCGGUGGCGAAGGCGACUUUCUGGCUAGAUACUGACGCUGAGGCGCGAAAGCGUGGGGAGCAAACAGGAUUAGAAACCCCAGUAGUCC
rnacentral:rRNA from 1 species